rnacentral:rRNA from 1 species
GAUGAACGCUGGCGGCGUGCCUAAUACAUGCAAGUCGAGCGAACAGAUGAGGAGCUUGCUCCUCUGACGUUAGCGGCGGACGGGUGAGUAACACGUGGAUAACCUACCUAUAAGACUGGGAUAACUUCGGGAAACCGGAGCUGAUACCGGAUAAUAUAUUGAACCGCAUGGUUCAAUAGUGAAAGACGGUUUUGCUGUCACUUAUAGAUGGAUCCGCGCCGCAUUAGCUAGUUGGUAAGGUAACGGCUUACCAAGGCAACGAUGCGUAGCCGACCUGAGAGGGUGAUCGGCCACACUGGAACUGAGACACGGUCCAGACUCCUACGGGAGGCAGCAGUAGGGAAUCUUCCGCAAUGGGCGAAAGCCUGACGGAGCAACGCCGCGUGUGUGAUGAAGGUCUUCGGAUCGUAAAACUCUGUUAUUAGGGAAGAACAAAUGUGUAAGUAACUAUGCACGUCUUGACGGUACCUAAUCAGAAAGCCACGGCUAACUACGUG